rnacentral:rRNA from 1 species
GCUAGUAAUCGCGGAUCAGCAUGCCGCGGUGAAUACGUUCCCGGGCCUUGUACACACCGCCCGUCACACCAUGGGAGUCGGUAACACCCGAAGCCGAUAGUCUAACGAAAGAGGACGUCGUCGAAGGUGGGAUUGAUGACUGGGGUGAAGUCGUAACAAGGUAGC